UCCCUAAGAUCGGCUGUGCUGCACAUGCACAGCCAAACAUCCUUAAAGCCAGCCAGGGACCAAUCACAACAGUCCCUGAAUGAUAACCACUCCUAUUGGUCUGUCACAGACCAAUAGGAUUUAAGUGCGAGGUGGGAGCGGUGUCUUUUCCUCCCCUUCUCCUCCAAUGGCAGAGAAGGCCACAGCAGAGAGACCCACUGCAGCUGUCAGGAUCAGAGCUUACAGAUGCUGUUGGCCUGCAACAUCUGCGGCCUAUCUUCAGCACACACAUCACGGCUUGGAAUGCAGUCCAAAAGCCAUCGCAUCUCCUUGUCCUCAACACCUGUGUUCCUGACAUCGCAUGAGCCCCCUUAUCUGGCCAGAAACUCUAUUCUAAACGCUCCGUGCAAUGACAGAUGCAGGGAAGAUAUUAAUGAAAACGGGAUCUGGCAGGUAUCCACGUGUAGGAAAAUGAACUGAGCCAUUGGCACUUUCUUCAAAAGAAGAUUGUGAUUGACCCACGUUGAUGGCGGGACAACAGGGUGUUUGUGGAUGGGGCAAGAUGGUAUUAACCCCAGGGGCAAGGUGUUGUUAACCCCUAAUGUUCAUGAUGCCAGAGUGGUUUUUGGGUACCGGAACCACACGAACGGUAUCUCCGCUAUUCCAAUGACUAGCCAGUGAAAGGAGAGUCCACAACCAAGUUAUGGUUUAACGGAGGCUUUACUGAGUUCAGACAGUUGUCUCUACAGCUCGGCCAGAAUCCUAGAGAAAUGACCAGUAACAUGGAAAGGGCCCUGCAGCUUGCUGGGACUUGUAAUUAUAGUAAUAAACUGUAGUUGAGCCAUGCAGACUAGGAUAGACUUGAUCAGUGUCUUGACUUUAGUAGAGACAGCAGAAAUAGAUGAGAUGGCUUACUGACAAUGUGGCUGGUGUGCAGGUUUUGUGGCCUCCAGGUGUACUGGACACAGGAUCUGUGAUGACUGUGCUUUGCUGUCCCUCAGCAGAAAGAGAGAUAAUUGCAAUGGCCGCCCCCUUAUAUAGAGGGGGGUUGAGGCAAAGCCCAUUGGUCAAGCUGCAGGUCAAGUGUUAAACUGGUGCCCUCUGGGUAACAUAAUGUGACAACAUAACAUAACAUGUGACAUUUCACAGGUCCUUUAGAUAACUGCUGGAGUCCUCCAAAGGUCCUUUAGUCUGUCUAUAGUUUAAGACACUGACUAUUCUUAAAAUAAAAUAUAUUAAAGUAGAGUAACAGCAGGGGAGACAAUGCAGGAGAGCAAACAGGUCACUGAGGGACUCAACCUGACAGGGCCUAAGGGUAGUACAAAACCAUGUUCUGUACUGGGACAUUUCAA